GGGCUCAGGGGCAAGGCAACACGAGCCAUACCUCAGCACAACAUCAACUGAAGCUGGCAGGACGGGAACCACGUUCCUCACCCUCAGCCAGGGCCACGAGGCAGCUUAAGUGCACCCUGAAGCCAUCUUGGGAGGUGGAGGAACUGCGUGGUGUGGAUCAUCUGUCUGAAUGACGAAAGGGAAGAGGUGAUAAAAAUAGGAAAAUACCUGAGAAAUGUCCAACCAGAGAAUGAAACUUGGAAGGCUGUCUUCCAGCAGCCCUCCCUUAUCCAGAGGAAAUGUCUGGGCAAGGAUGGAAGGAAGACAGGUAUUGCAACUCACGUGAAGAGGAUUUAGCUGUGGACCCAGGGCACCGGUGAUGAGGAGGAGGAAGAGGGAGAUGGCAGCCAUGGAGACUUUCAUCCUCCUGGGUUGAGGGAGCUGCUGCAGGAGGAGAACUUGCCUGUUUUGUCUUGUUGGAAUAAAUGUGUAGGCCUAGGAUGGGGUCGCUCCUGCCUGCUGUGCCACCUCUGCAAACCAACUAGCCUGUUCCUGGAAAUGCUGUGCUAAUGCAGAACGCCCACCAAGCCUGUCCCACGCCGAGCCAACUGUGUUCUGGAGCCUGGAAGUCUGAGGUCAAUGUGCCAUCAUGAUUGGAUGAGGUUCUUCUUCUGGGUUGCAGACUUCUUCUAUCCUCACGUGGUGGAAAGAGCUGGGGAUAAUUAAAAACUUUACAUUUCUAUUGUGUAAGGGUGCCUGAUCAAAGAAGCUGGAACACCAGACUGGAUAAGGAGGAGCUUAUUGACUUGGGAGUACUCCUUGGAUAUAGGUUAUAACUACCUGGCAAGGAUCCCAGGGAUUAAUAAAAAUUUGCUGCCAGGAAAGCUCUGGAAGCCUGGAGAAAGCAAUGGAUCAUGCUGACUGAAGUUAAAAUACCUGACUUGCCAUGACAGAUGGAGGAGAAAGGUUCAUAGAGCCUUGAUCAACGGACUCCUUUUGAACCCUUCUGAGGAAAACAACCACAUCGUUUUGAAAGCCCACUUGAGGCUCUCAAAUGUCACAUGAUGGUUCUCAGGCCACAGCACUAGGAAGGUGUGGAUCGACUUCUGGCCAACAUAUGGGGAUCAACUG